CACGUAGGGUGCGAGCGUUGUCCGGAAUUAUUGGGCGUAAAGAGCUCGUAGGCGGUGUGUCGCGUCGGCCGUGAAAACCUGCAGCUUAACUGUGGGCUUGCGGUCGAUACGGGCAUCACUGGAGUUCGGCAGGGGAGACUGGAAUUCCUGGUGUAGCGGUGAAAUACGCAGAUAUCAGGAGGAACACCGGUGGCGAAGGCGGGUCUCUGGGCCACUACUGACGCUGAGAAGCGAAAGCAUGGGGAGCGAACAGG
rnacentral:rRNA from 1 species